UUUUUCAAGUUUUUCUUGCUUUUCGCCCCUUCUUUGUUUUGAAAGGGUUAUAAAAAAUCAAAAUUCGUCUUACACACCACCUAAUGGCAGACAAAGAGAAUAUCAAAGAAAGAAGACAUUAAGGGGAAGAUCUAAAAGAAGCACCAAUACAAAAGACUGAAGACUUUUCUUUUGGAUUUAAAUAAACUCUCUGAACAUACCAAAAAUGAGCUUAAAAAAACAAAACAAAGCAAAAGUAACCAAGAAGGCAGGGCUGCUGAACCGAGAACCCAAAGUAUUUAAAACAUUUUGUCGCAUUCUCCUCUUCAUAACGCAAAUCCCCAAAAAUUCCCUCUUGCCACAUAAGUUCCUGCCGAGCGGUGGAGGGGGAGGGGGAGGAAAAGGUCGAGUGAUGACUUGAAGGGGGUGGAAGUAUAAUCAGCAAAUAUAUGUCAGGAAAAAAGUAACAAAUAACUCAGGCCCUGUCAAAAGAGGAGAUACAUCAGCAGAGGUAUCAAAAAACACCAAACAAAAAAUUAGUUAAACAAAGAAAAACGAAGAUGAAUGACCAAAACGAGGACAGCAUGGGGUUAAGAAGGCCACAAACUUAACUGAAACUUGACAAAACAGCCCAGCAAAAAGAAAAAAAAGACAAAAAGGUGUGUCCUCCAAGCAGUUAAGCACUCACACUCAUGUGUGCUUGUGCUUUGUUCUUGAGACGAGGUGUGUUAG